UACGUAGGGUGCGAGCGUUAAUCGGAAUUACUGGGCGUAAAGGGUGCGUAGGCGGUUUUUUAAGUCUGUCGUGAAAUCCCCGGGCUCAACCUGGGAAUGGCGAUGGAUACUGGGCAGCUAGAGUGUGUCAGAGGAUGGUGGAAUUCCCGGUGUAGCGGUGAAAUGCGUAGAGAUCGGGAGGAACAUCAGUGGCGAAGGCGGCCAUCUGGGACAACACUGACGCUGAAGCACGAAAGCGUGGGGAGCAAACAGG
rnacentral:rRNA from 1 species